rnacentral:lncRNA from 1 species
GGGGGGGGGGGGGGGGAGGGAAAUGUCACCCGGCGGGCGCGGUGCUGAGGGACGGAGCGAGGGGACGGAGGGACAGGGAGCGCCGCCGGCUGUCAAGCAGAGCAGUUGCCAAGUGAUCUUCUCCACAGCACCCACGAACUUUGGCCUUACACUGAAGAGGACUCGUCAAAUGCUUUGGGAGAUACAACACGGAAUUGGAAGAGAAGCAUGGAUCUACCUGAAGGGCAGUUCGCUGCAUUCUUGGUGUGUGGAGGAACGGGUCCCGUGCUCACUGUUGUUACUCCCACAUAGGCGGACUCUGUAACUGAUUAUAUGUGGGUAGGGCCCUAUUGAAAUUAAGGAGAUUCUGCAGUAGUGCGGGGUUCUGUUUGUGUGACCCUACUGUGCCUUCUUACUGUGAAUUCUGUCAGUGUAUCAUGGGUUGUGCUGGAACCUGCCUUUUGGGAUAAUUACCAAAUAAUAUAUUCCUCAAAACUUCUUAAUGGCACUGAGGCUUUGUGGAUAGUUGGUCACAUGAUGAGAAAAUUCAGCUCACUGUCCUAACUCCCCAUCUGGAUGACUGCUGACCAUUCCCUCUGAUGCUGACAUCAGUAUUUUCUGUGAGAGAGAGUACUGUAGUGAAGAGACAGAAAAAGAAGAAGAUGGCACUAUUGUGAUUUUGUUGUUGUAUGGCUUUGAAUCACCUACAAGUAUUGCUGCGACCGCAAAUUAAGUGUGCUGGUUUCCCAAUGAACUUGUAAUUUCAAGAUGUUUGUAGAAAUGUAAAAUCAAACGUGAACCGCAUUAAAGUCAUUUAAAUUUAACAAAAUAUAGCACUAGUCUUCUUUUAUUUUUAAUAUGGAGACCUACGUGGCUCACUUGCAGAAAGUGGGUUAUAUUUUAAAAGCUGUGGACUGGCAAGUUCUGACUUACUAAAGCAUAAAAUCAUUGUCCUCCUCCCUGUGGCAGUAGUUUCUUUAUUCAGACCCACUGCUUAAAGAUCUCUCCUGUUGUUUCCUUCUCUAUCUUCUCCUUUUUUACUUCCUUUUACUAGCUUGAGUUUCCUGUUCCUUUUUGCACCGAACUUUCCUAAGUCUCUUGGUCCAAAACCAGUCCCUUUUUCUCUCACGUAUACGUCCAUCAGCCUAAACUAC